CCUACGGGUGGCAGCAGUCGGGAAUAUUGCGCAAUGGAGGAAACUCUGACGCAGUGACGCCGCGUGCAGGUAGGUGGCUUUCGGAUGGUAAACUGCUUUAGACAGGGAGGAAUAAAGACAGUACCUGUAGAAUAAGCUCCGGCUAACGACUUGCCAGCAGCGGCGGAAAUACGUGGGGAGAAAGCUUUACGGGGAUUUAUUGGGUUUAAAGGGUGCGUAGACGGAGAAGCAAGUUAGGUGUGUAAUCCCUCGGUCGAAGGGAGGAACUGCAAUUAAAACUACUUCCCUUGAGUGCUGGAGCGGAAAGUGGAAUUCGUAGUGUAGCGGUGAAAUGCAUAGAUAUUAGACGGAACACCAGUGGCGAAGGCGACUUUCUGGACAGUAACUGACGUUGAGGCACGAAAGUGUGGGGAGCAAACAGGAUUAGAUACCCGUGUAGUC
rnacentral:rRNA from 1 species